CUCCAGCUUAGGCCCUGCCGCCUCCUACCUGGGUGACCUUGGACAAGGCAUUUUUCCUCUCUGAGGCUCAGCUUCACCUCAGAAGGGGGGCUCGAGCCCUUAGAACAACUGCCAUUUACUGAGGACUUGCCGAGCCUUUAUGUUGAUCUGGAUUCCUCACAACCAUUGGGUAGGUGAUGUAAACGAGGUUCAGGGUGGCCGUGUGGCCUGUCCAAGGUCCCUAGCCAGCAGAUGGGGCGGGGGGCAAGCGGGGAGCAGGGCUGCGAGCCCAGUCCUUUCCCGCAGCUCCCAGGAGCCGGGAGGGGAGGUGGUCUAGGGGUGGUCACGAGGGAUGACCUCAGGCGGCAGAGACAUUUUUAUUUCAAUAAUGCUGAAAGUAUUUCAUGUAUAUCCCCCCAAAAAGUGUCACCAGCUCAUCAGCUCUGUGAUUUCAGAUGUUACUGCCCAGGACAAGACCAUGUAAAGCCUCUCAUUGGGCACAGGUCGAAUGGAAAGAAUUAAGAUGAUUUUAUACGUACUUCUCAGUUACAGCAAAAGUCAGGAUGUAGUCCUGGGCUUGGGGCCAUUUGGGUGGUGCUGAAAACCACCAUACCCACUCCCCAGCCACAGGUAUUUGAAGUCUGGGGUGUGGCCGGUAGUUGUCAACGAUCGUUACCCUUGUGUGUUUCUUUGUCACGUUCCCAUGGCCACACUUGUGUCUGCUGUUCCCCUCCUUUCCAAGCCCCCCCCCCCCCCCGCUCUGGAUGCCCUCCCUGUUUCACAGUGACUUUUCCUUCCUGGUUCCUCAUCCCGUGGGCUUGCAGGAAACUCAGCUGUCCCUGCAGUGAGGCAGGUGCUUAAAAGUAGGAUGUCCUAUCUCACUGCACAGCCUGGGCCGGCAGCUGGCCCCCGUGGGCCUCUGGGGCUGCCCAAGGCAGAGUCACCCUAAGGGUGGGCUCGACCCAGUCCUCCCUGCCUUCACCUGUUUCUCAUCGGAGUACACGAUUUCUGACUUCUGCAUGCCCAUGCACAUGAUGGCUUCGUGGAACUCUCUCAUUUGCUCCUGGGUCGCUUGUGGCUUGUCAGCUGCAGGAGGGAGCAAGGAGAUGUUGGAUCCUGCUGACGCCUCUGGAGCUCUGACCGUGGCACGGAGCACUUUCCUGUCCCCUGGCUCAGCUGGCUGCCUCCUGGAUGCUCCAUAGUGCCCCAGUGCAGCUCAAACCCACCUCGGCCACCAGCCCAAACCCUGCUUUCCUGUGCAACCUGUGGCUUGUCCUACUCCCUGGGGCUCCCACAGCCUAUGCUAUAGCAUUCCCAAAUAUGCAGUGUGGCCUUUACUUCCAAGCCUUGGCAGCUCUCCAGCCUGCCAGACUUUACACUAGAAGGACACCAUCAGCUCUCCUGGGUCUUGAAUUGGCCAACUCACUCUGCAGAUCCUGGGACUUGCCAACGAUCAUAAUCAUGUAAGAAAUGCUCGUAUUGAAGCACUGUCCGCAAGGGCCGAAAGACGGAAACAACCCAGAUGUCCAUCAGAGGAUGAGCAGAGAACAAAAAUGCGGUAUAUCUAUAUAGUAGAAUAUGAGUGAGUCAUAAAAAAGAAUGAAGUACUGUAUGGAAACAUAUACCACAAGGGGGAACAUUGAAAUCAUGAUACAUGAAAGAAGUCAAUCACAGAAGACGUAAUCAACUGAAGAUGAGCUCAUUCAUGUGGGCCCUCAUCCACUAUGACUGGUGUCCUUAUAAAAAGAUGUGCGGAGACACACGGGAGAAAGAAUGCCACGUGACUAAAGAGGCAGAGACCACAGUGUUCCAGCUGGAAGCCGAGGAAUGCCUGGGGCCACCGGAAACUGAUCAGGGUAAGGAACCUCUCCUAGAAGCAUGGGGAAUGGGGGGCACUGGCACCACUUGGAUUUCAGACUUCCAGGCUGCAGAGCUGGGAGAGAAUGCAUUUCUGCUGUCCUAAGCCUCCAGGUUUGCGAUGCUGUUACAGCAACCCUAGGGAAGGAAUACGCCAUGGGACCCGGACCACCCCCCUUUCAGUACUCACCCCCGUGUUGACCCCAUGCCAUCUCUCUCUCUCUCUCUCUCUCUCUCUCUCUGCUUCCCUUCUUUGGGGAAAGCAGCAUAAACAGGGCAUCCCCUGAGCAUCUUUUCUCCCCCUCCCCCACCCCCAGCUGGGCUGGAAACCUCCCUCCGGGGGCUGUUCAAAGAAGCACACAGCCACAGAUGCAUCAUUCCAUUGCCUCAGUUUUAAAUAUUUAUUUAAAAUCCAGAAGGGAAAAAGGAGAAACGGAACCCACUGGGGUUUUAACACACUGACAUGUGGACAGACACAAACAAGGACAGCAGAAAAUCCCAAGAACGAGACAGAGGCCAGGUGGAGACUGGCGGUGUGGGGAAACCGAGGGCUGAGAUGAGGCCCAAGCUGCUACAAGAACGCACUUCCGUGGGGAGCGUCUGGGUUGGGGCGGGAGGGCGAGGCAUAUACAGGAAGUGUCUGGUGGGGAAGGUGGGCCAGAGUGAGGUAUUAAAUAAUGAAAAUCAAAUCCAAUUCCCAAAGAGACACGACUUUUAGAGAAAAUAAAAAAGAA